ACACGAGAAGGGAGGUGGUUCGGCAGAUGUAUGAGAACCGGACGCGUGAGGUGGCUGCGGGCUAGCGGCUCGCCACCACAUCCAGUGCGGUGCCGGACCAGCACGUGACAGUACGUGCAGCCGGCCCAAUCCCAAGCAGUCACCCGACCCGCGGGCUGCCGGUACGUCCGGCCGGCUCCUCCUCGGAGGAACCCAGCCCGCGGGUCGUCUGCG
rnacentral:sRNA from 1 species